GCUCUAAUAAUUUAAUUUAAAAUAUUGAUCUUGUAAAUCAAAAAUAAGAAUUUCUUUUAAAGCA
rnacentral:tRNA from 1 species